AACGAACGCUGGCGGCAGGCCUAACACAUGCAAGUCGAACGCACCGCAAGGUGAGUGGCGCACGGGUGAGUAACACGUGGGAAUGUAUCCUUUGGUUCGGAAUAACGUUUGGAAACGAACGCUAAUACCGGAUGAGCCCUGUGGGGGAAAGAUUUAUCGCCAAAGGAGCAGCCCGCGUCUGAUUAGGUAGUUGGUGGGGUAAUGGCCUACCAAGCCGACGAUCAGUAGCUGGUCUGAGAGGAUGAUCAGCCACACCGGGACUGAGACACGGCCCAGACUCCUACGGGAGGCAGCAGUGGGGAAUAUUGGACAAUGGGCGCAAGCCUGAUCCAGCCAUGCCGCGUGAGUGAUGAAGGCCUUCGGGUUGUAAAGCUCUUUCGCACACGACGAUGAUGACGGUAGUGUGAGAAGAAGCCCCGGCUAACUUCGUGCCAGCAGCCGCGGUAAAAC
rnacentral:rRNA from 1 species